rnacentral:lncRNA from 1 species
AUAGGCGACGUGAGUUUGUUGAUAAUGAUGGGCAAUGAACGUGAGUGAUGAUAUGAGAGGAUUGAAUGAUGAAACAAUGGUUUGAUGGAGAUAGAUGUUUAGGUGGUUGUAUGGAUUGUAACAAUGAAGAGUUUCUGAAUCACAAAGUGUAUAGAAACCCAGAAAUCUAGAACGCAUUCAAGAAUUCGAAUUGAGAGAAAAA